rnacentral:rRNA from 1 species
UACGGAGGGUGCAAACGUUGCUCGGAAUCACUGGGCGUAAAGGGCGUGUAGGCGGGGAUGUAAGUCGGGCGUGAAAGCCCCAGGCUCAACCUGGGAACUGCACUCGAAACUGCGUUUCUUGAGUAUCGGAGAGGAAAGCGGAAUACCUGGUGUAGAGGUGAAAUUCGUAGAUAUCAGGUGGAACACCAGUGGCGAAGGCGGCUUUCUGGACGAUUACUGACGCUGAGACGCGAAAGCGUGGGGAGCAAACAGG